AUGGCUGGCUUGGAAGGUUUCGAGUUCUUCGAGAUCGUAACUGAGAAAUCUUGCAGUAGGCAGAGGUUGCCUGACAAGUUUGCGAAGAUGCUCGCCGGCCGUGAGCCCCACAAAGUGAAGCUGCGGGAGGCCGGCAGCGGGCUUCACAGGAUGUGGGAAGUGUUGGUGGUGUUUGAUGGUGAAGGCCACAUGUACUUAUGGCCCGGCUGGGAGCAUUUCGCCCGUGCACAUGAGCUACAGCUCGAGUACUUCCUUGUCUUCCGCUACGACGGCGACACCAUGUUCACCGUGAAGAUGUUCGACAACACCAUGUGCCGCAUGUACUACCAGCACGACAACGAUGCCAGCAAUGGGAGCAGCAGCGGGGAUGACGAGGAGCAGAGCAGGGAUGACGACGAGGAGCAGAGCAGGAAUGACGAGCAGAGCGGGGAUGACGAGGAGCAGAGCGGGGAUGACGAGGAGCAGCCUAUUCUGGCUGACGACGACCCUGCUAUGGUGGUGGCGGAUGACGACCUUGCUAUGGUGGUGGCGGACGACGACCUCGCUAUGGUGGUGGCGGACGACGACCUCGCGAUGGUGGUGGUGGACGAUGACCUUGCUAUGGUGGUGGCGGACGACGACCUCGCGAUGGUGGCGGCGCCUGCAAUCCCAUAG
rnacentral:rRNA from 1 species